UACGUAGGGGGCGAGCGUUGAUCGGAAUCACUGGGCUUAAAGGGCGUGUAGGUGGAGUAGUAGGUCUUCUGUGAAAGCCCCCGUCUCAAUCGGGGAAUUGCAGGGGAAACCCCUAUUCUUGAGGUAGGUAGAGGCGACCGGAACGUGUGGUGGAGCGGUGAAAUGCGUAGAUAUCACACGGAACGCCGGUGGUGAAGACGGGUCGCUGGGCCUUACCUGACACUGAGACGCGAAAGCGUGGGGAGUAAACAGG
rnacentral:rRNA from 1 species